rnacentral:tRNA from 1 species
GCAUUGGUGGUUUAGUGGUAUAAUUACCGCCUGCCACGCGGUUAACCCGAGUUCGAUUCUCGGACAAUGCA